GUUGGCCAAAAAGUUCAUCUGGGUUUUCCUGUUGACACCUUCUGGAAAAAUCCGAAUGAACUUUUUGGCCAGC
rnacentral:miRNA from 1 species